rnacentral:ncRNA from 1 species
CGCUCAUCCAGAGGGGCAGAGGGAUACGGCCCGUUGAAGCCCCGGCAACCCUCCAGCCGGUCUCGUCGCCGCGAACGCGCGCGCCGCGAGGCUCCCGGCUCGGGAAGGUGCCAAUUCCGUCUCGCGGCGAGAUGCGCCGCGGGGAAGAUGAGGA